AUCAAUUAGCAGCCUCCACAUGCGCCCAAUGAAGAAUAUAAAACUGAUCAGCUUGCAGGUGCCCUUUAGUGGGCAGAAACCUUACACCCUUUCCCCACACUCACAUGUGCGCAUGGUAAGGAGAGGUCUUGAUAAAAUUCUGGCCCUGGGUGAUAUUGCAAUCAGAUUUUAAACUCUUCUCUUCCUCCUUCUUAUGCGUUGUGUAAUAUAAGUUGUGGCUGAACUCUUAACCCUUAAACAGAAACCUGGUCUUCCCCUCUCCUCUUGACCGUGUUCACCCUAGCUAAGCACAUCAGAAUCAUUGUUAUAACAUUUUCCUUCCCUCACAAAAAAAAAAAAACCGUGAGCCAACAUAGAAGGAUAUCAAGAACAACAACACCUGAAUCUUUCCCUUUCCCUUAUUCUAGCAAGGCUGCGUGCUCCUUGAGCAGGGAACAAAAUCACUCAGCAUUUUCCUCCUUUAUUUCUUGUUGAUCGAACUCCACAUAACAAGAAGACCGAAGCCUUGGAGCAUAAGAGGAACCUCCGACUGCAUGCACGAUUAAACCUUGACUCUAGUCUUCCACCUUUUCUCCUUGUGCGUACGAUCACCAUUUAGGAGGGCUGGACCUGUUGCCUUCGUGGAGCUUAGGAGGCUUGGUGUUGCUUCUCAUUUCGUGUGUUUCCUUGUGUGUGUGCUUGCAAGAGGUACGAAAAAUCCUUGAGAAGUUGGACUAUAUCACUGCUUGUUGGUAACUUAAAUUUCGACGUACGAGGAUGACGUAAAAGCAUUUGAGGACUUGGAUGUUGAACUCUGUUAUAUUUUUGCUGCUGUCUGGAUUUAUUCACUGUUGACUGAUUUAAGCUUGGGAUGACUGUAUUAUGUGGUACUUGAUGAUUUUUGGAUGACUGUAAAACUAUGACAUAUUUCUGCUUUAAGUCUUUUUAUGAACAACGGCUGCUUUAAGAAAUCUGAAAUGUUUUGCGA